GAGCACAGAGACACCACACAAGAGUUCUUUGGAAAAAAAACUUAAUAAGUACGGGAGUUAAAUAAAACACUCAGCUGUUGUCUAUAGUGGUGCAACGUAGGAGGAGUCCAGUGCCACUUUGAACUAGAAAAAACAAGUGCUGAAACGGUGGCAACGGACAAGCCUUUUGACCGCGCUGGGAUUGAGCUGUGACAUCACAUUCUUGCAGUGUGUAUGCUGCAAAUCGGUCAGGUCUUUUGAUGUAUGGUCAAGAUCCGUGGAGAAGAAUUUGUUAGAUGGCGAGCCAACCCAAUUGAGCCGUGGAACUAGAGUCUACAUACACCAUUGCAAAGAGCAGAUGGACUAUCUGCUGUGGUAGGACUGUACCAAGUAAUCUGCAUGGACAUUUGUAGAACUUGAACUCAGAAACAGGAUUAAGGAGUGCACUCCAUUAGACAGACUCGAUCACCCAUAAAAGGAAACAAAGCCCUAAAGGGAGCAAAGACAUUGGGGAAUUUAAAGGUGCCUUUUGGUUUAAUUUUAUUUGUAUGCCAAUAUCUGUUAUUACCUGUUAUGUCAACAAGUUUUCUACUAAAGUACAGUUCAUAUUUGCAACUCUUUCGUGUUUGUGUUUUUAUUGUGGCUGUUUGAGUUAAUUAAGUCGGGCUCUGUUCGGACCUAACUUAAUAAUAUAUUUGAUAAAUCAA